GUCCAGCUGACGAGUCCCAAACAGGACGAAACGCGCGUUCUGGAU
rnacentral:hammerhead_ribozyme from 1 species